rnacentral:snoRNA from 1 species
AGGCGAUGAAGAAAAAACUGCGUUAAAUUUAAAAAUCUGAUAAAUAAAAUAUUAAUAAAAUUUAUUUUGUUAAUUUUUUUAUUUUGAGAUGAUAAAACGUAAGAUAGCAGAGCCUUU